GGGCUUGCAUCCUGGCAGCAAUCACAAAGGCCAUGGAAUGUUGGGGCUUGGAUCCUGGCAACAAUCAGCAGCUCCUGGCUAUUGGGGUUUUGACCCUGGACCUGUCAACAGCUCGUGUACAUUGGGGCUUGGACCCUGCAAAGGCCAACGGCACAUUGAUAUUGUGCUAUUGACCCUGCAAAGGAAAAGAACCUUUGGAUAUUGGUGUUUACAUCUUGCAAAGGCCAAGGGCCUUUGGAUAUUGGGGUUUGAACCCUGCAAAGGCCAAGGGCCUUUGGAUAUUGGGUUUCUAACCCUGCCAAGGCCAAGGGCCUUUGGUCACUGGGGUUUAAGCCCUGCCAAGACCAAGGGCCUUUGGUCACUGCUGUUUCCUCACUUCUUGUGGAAGGGGCAGAUGGAGACCCGGCGGGGAGCUCGAGGGCUUUCUCACCAGGGACGUUCCUCCAGAGCCCCUGAGGUGCUGGUAGACAACCGUGACAGCAUGGCCAAUUCCAACAUCUGCACCGACAAUCCUGGGAACAUCCUCUCAACUCUGACAUCCACUGACAAACCACAUCCCUGUGAAUUUGUUUGGGAAGCUGCAGAGAAUUGUGUGCGUGUGUGGCAACGUUUCCAUCAAAGGGAGAAGAGAACCCAGAGGAUCAGAAGCCAGUACCAGCUCAUAGACUCUCUGCUAGAAGAAAUCAGAAGUGACUGUGCAAACCUUGAGAAGUCCAGGGAAAUGCUGCUGCAAUGCACUGGAAUCCCGGAGCCAGGAGCCUUGCGUCUGCACCAGCAGAACACCAAACAGCGGAAAGAACCGUCAGCCCAGGAGGAAAAGGCAGAGCAGCAGGACUGGAUGGAGGUUUCCCAGGAGGAAGAGCCAUUGAGCUGGUCUCUGGAGCAGCUGAGCUGGG